rnacentral:lncRNA from 1 species
CUGGAACCAUGCGAAGUUCAACAAUUGUAAGCAUGACUGCCCCCCCUACAUGUGUAAACAGUGGAAGAAAUCAAAAGUGGAUGUGUACUGGACUGGAUAUUAUACAUGUGCAAACAGAGAAAGCAUACAAAUGCGGAGAAAUGGUAAUUGUCUAAUUAUACCAUUUAGUACUUUGAUCUUGUUUAAAUGUUUAAUAUGUUUCAGUUUGGACGUAUGAUUGAUUUUCUAGUGUUUUGAUGCACUUACAUAGAUGAUGGCACCGAUGAUCUCCAUCGUGAGAGGGAAGGUGAGGGAGUCUUCCUCCUGCAGCCGGAGAAGCACGUCAAGCAGGUCCUCGUCUUGAUGACCAGGAAAGGCAGAUGCACUCUGUUUCUCUUUGGGUUCCUGGAUGAUGCCGCUGAUUAUGUGCUGGACUUGAUCGUGGCUCCUCCUCAGAUUGCACGUGGCUCUGCU